ACCGACAUCAGGCCGGUCUACCUUACUGCUGCUUCGAUUUCGAAGACGGGAUGUUUUAAACCGCUUGUGAACUGAUAGAAGAGGAAUAUUAGAGUCCCACCUUUAAUACUACAGAGACGGGACGUUUCUUCAAGUCCUCCACCUGCUCGCAGGAGGUUAAUAGAAGGAGAAAGGCGGGGCAGAUCGACAACACGUCAGACCAAUUUAAGGAGGUCAUCCCCAUCACAGACUGAGGCUUUCAAGCUAAUAACAUUUUUUUAAAGUAGUGUUUUUACAAUGUCAGAUUUACCUUAGUCAAACACCAUCCUAAAUGAGCAAUAAGCAGGUGUAAAUCAGCAAAUGCAAAUAAGACAGAAUGUUGCAGAAUCAGGUUUUCAGACUUUGCAAAAUACUUCUAACGAGAUAAAUCAAAUAUAUAAUGUCCACCAACCCUUGGAAAAUGCUCUCAGAGAAAUAAUCUGGCCACAUUCACCAGCAGACCCUAUCAGAAUUCAAAUAGAUAAUUUCUUUCGACCAUUGGAAAAUGCUCUCAUAGAAUUAGAUGAACCGAAUCAAAUAGAUAAUUUCUUACAGCAAUUGGAAAAUGCUCUCAGAAAAUUAGAUGAACAAAGGGUUUCUCAGAACCAACAUAGUAAUGCAGAGAAUUUUUUGAGACAUCUGGGGUUAAGUCACCCCCCCAGUAGCUGUUACUGGAUCAACUCAGGCAGGGGGAGUUGUUGAAUCAAAUCAAAAUGAUCAGGUUCGAACAACAAAUCGUAAAAAUUCUAACAAUGUGGAAUUCAGACAAAUCCUCUCUUUAAAUUUUCCUGUACCUGGAUCAGA